rnacentral:rRNA from 1 species
UAGGGAAUCUUCCACAAUGGACGAAAGUCUGAUGGAGCAACGCCGCGUGAGUGAAGAAGGGUUUCGGCUCGUAAACUCUGUUGUUAAAGAAGAACAUAUCUGAGAGUAACUGUUCAGGUAUUGACGGUAUUUGACCAGAAAGCCACGGCUAACUACGUGCCAC